CAAAGUGCUGAGAUAACAGGCAUGAGCCACUGCGCCUGGCAAGGUCAUGCUUUUUGAUGCUGGGUAGUUCUUUGACUCCUGACCUGGCCACUUGUUAGCUAUGUGAACUUUGGACACAUUUCUUAAUCUCUGAAUGUUGGUAAAUUGGGGAUGAUGAUACUGUCCCAUACAGCUGUUGUAAGGGUUAAAUGGUUCAAGUGUUGCAAAGAGCUGAGCACGUGCCUGGCUCAUAGUAAGUGUCCAACAAGUGAUAGCUACUGGGGCUGCUGCUGUUAUUAUUAUGGUUAACAGGUGGUUAAUGAAUAAAGAGAUAUAUUAUGCAAAAUUAUCAGAAUCUGGCAAACAGCUGAUAAGGCAAUGAGGAAAGAGGUUUUUUGUUUUUUGUUUUUGAGACAGGGUCUCUCUCUGUUGCCCAGGCUGGAAUGCAAUGGCACGAUCUCAGCUCACUGCAACCUCCACCUCCCGGGUUCAAGCGAUUCUUGUGCCUCAGCCUCCCGAGUAGCUGGGAUUACAGGCAUGUGCCACCACACCCUGCUAAUUUUUGUAUUUUUAGUAGAGACAUGGUUUCACCACGUUGGUCAGGCUGGUCUCGAACUCCUGACCUGAAGUGAUGAGCCCACCUCAGCCUCCCAAAGUGCUGGGAUUGCAGGGGUGAGCCACUAUGUCCAGCCGAGGAAAGAGGUUUAAAAUAACUUCUAGGUUUCUGGUUUGGAUGUCUGCAUAGACGGUUCCAUUUGCGUAGAGAGAAUCUGCAGGAGAAGCAGACUUGGAUGGGAAUUUUUUUUUUUUUUUUGAGUUGCAGUGUCCACGGGGCCAGUGGGUGAUUUCUUUUUUCCUUCUUUCUUUUUUUUUUUUUGGAGACAGUCUUGCUCUGUCACUCAGGCUGGAGUGGUGGCACGAUCACGGCUUGCUGCACACUGCAGCCUCAACCUCCCGGGCCCAUGUAGUCCUCCCACUGCAGCCUCCCAAGUAAUUGGGACUACAGGUGUGUGCAACCACGCCUGGCUUAUUUUUUAAUUUUUUGUAGAGAUGGGGUUUGGCUAUGCUGCCCAGACUGGUUUCUAACUCCUGGCAUCAAGCGAUCCUUUGGCCUCCCAAAGUGCUGAGAUUACAGGCGUGCACCACCACACCCGGCCUCACCAGGCGCUGGCUGCAUGGCCAGUUCUGGAGCCCGGGAGCAGGUUCUGUGUUGAGGGAGUCACUCUGGGAGUCAUUUGCUUGUGGGUGAUCAUCAGAGCCCUUUGUUUGGAUUCAAAAUCCCAGGAAGAGUGCAUAGACUGAGCAGAGAAGAGGGCCAGCCACCUCCAUAGAGGCAGGGAGAGCAGCCGAGCUGGAGCCGGAGGAUUCCUGGACAUGGAGAAGGCCUGCAGUUUUGUCAAGGAAGCAAGCAAAGGGUCUCUUUCUACUCGAUGAAGGUAGUCAGCACCGCCACAGGGUGGACAGGGCUCAGGUCCAAGGAGGAGGAGGAAGGCACACUGGAGCCGCUCUGGGGCCCAGAGCGUGGGUGGGUGGUCCCCCAGGAUGACCAGGCAGGUGUCAGAUUUUGGGGUUCGAGGAGAGGAUGGGAGGUGAAAAAGUGACACAUCACGUGAGUUGCUGUGAAGGAGAAGGAGCUGUGAAGCCGAGUAGACACAUGAGCAUCGCCAGCUCUUUGAUGGAAAGUGCCGGUUGAGGAGGAGGGGUUGAAGAUGGGAGAGGGAGGGAAUGGGCUGGAGGUGAAGGCUCGGGGUCAGUGGUGGGACUUGGGGGGCUCCAGGGCAGGGGUGUGCCCACUUGGCAUCACGUUUGUGGGUAGGUGGCCUGGAAGAUGAGCGUGUCCAAGCGUGGGUGGCCCCUGGUUCCUUUGAGGUAGGAGGUGAGAUGCUGAGUGUGAGGGCCAUGUGUAUUGAGGGCCCAGGACAGCCUGGAAGCCCCAGGGCGCUGUGACCUCCCCAGUCAGCAGUGAGCUGUUUUCAGGCCGGGGCUCACUGGCUGGGACUGGGAUUGAGAGGAAGGCGGAGAAAACAGGCAGGAGAAACUGAAAGGGUCUCAGCUGGCGGGACAGGAAGUGUGGGCCCAGGGGCUUGGCCUGGGAGGAGACAAGGGGACCAAGGGCUUGGCGAUGGGGAUGAGAUCAGAGAGCUGCAGCUUCCACCCCGGGUGCCUUCCUUGCCCUGCCCAGAGCGGCGGCCACACUGCUCUUUCUCGGAAGCCCUGUAACUUUGUGUGCCCUGCUCCAUCCAGUUCGCUCCCAGGACCCCGGGCAGCGGCGAGUGCUGGACCGGGCUGCCCGGCAGCGUCGCAUCAACCGGCAGCUGGAGGCCCUGGAGAAUGACAACUUCCAGGAUGACCCCCACGCGGGACUCCCUCAGCUCGGCAAGAGACUGCCUCAGUUUGAUGACGAUGCGGACACUGGAAAGAAAAAGAAGAAAACCCGAGGUGAUCAUUUUAAACUUCGCUUCCGAAAAAACUUUCAGGCUCUGUUGGAGGAGCAGAAUUUGAGUGUGGCCGAGGGCCCUAACUACCUGACGGCCUGUGCGGGACCCCCAUCGCGGCCCCAGCGCCCCUUCUGUGCUGUCUGUGGCUUCCCAUCCCCCUACACCUGUGUCAGCUGCGGUGCCCGGUACUGCACUGUGCGCUGUCUGGGGACCCACCAGGAGACCAGGUGUCUGAAGUGGACUGUGUGAGCCUGGGCAUUCCCAGAGAGGAAGGGCCGCUGUGCACUGCCCGGCCUUCAGAAAGACAGAGUUUCAUCACCCAAUGCAGGGGGAGCUCUUCCUGGACCAAGGGAGGAGCCGCUCAUUCACCCAACAAAACUGUGUCUUACCUGCCAGGAAAGACCAGCCUCACUCCUGGGAACUGUCUGGCAGGUAGGCUGGGCCCCUCAGUGCUGUUAGAAUAAAAAGCCUCGUGCCGGAA
rnacentral:sRNA from 1 species